rnacentral:rRNA from 1 species
UUCGCCCUUAGAGUUUGAUCCUGGCUCAGAGUGAACGCUGGCGGCAGGCUUAACACAUGCAAGUCGAACGGGCCCUUCGGGGUCAGCGGCAGACGGGUGAGUAACGCGUGGGAACGUGCCCUUCGGUUCGGAAUAACUCAGGGAAACUUGAGCUAAUACCGGAUACGUGCGAGAGCAGAAAGGUUUAUCUGCCGAAGGAUCGGCCCGCGUCUGAUUAGCUGGUUGGUGAGGUUAUGGCUCACCAAGGCGACGAUCAGUAGCUGGUCUGAGAGGAUGAUCAGCCACACUGGGACUGAGACACGGCCCAGACUCCUACGGGAGGCAGCAGAAGGG